rnacentral:rRNA from 1 species
CCUACGGGUGGCAGCAGUCGAGAAUCAUUCACAAUGGGGGAAAGCCUGAUGGUGCGACGCCGCGUGGUGGAGUGGAGGUCUUCGGAGUGUAGACCGCUGUCAGGUGGGGGCACAUUAAAAAAAUAGUACCACAAGAGGAAGAGACGGCUAACUCUGUGCCAGCAGCCGCGGUAAUACAGAGGUCUCAAGCGUUGUUCGGAAUCACUGGGCGUAUAGCGUGCGUAGGCUGUUUGGUAAGUCGUGUGUGAAAGGCGCGGGCUCAACCCGAGGACGGCACAUGAUACUGCGAGACUAGAGUGAGGGAGGGGGAACGGGAAUUCCUGGUGUAGCAGUGAAAUGCGUAGAUAUCGAGAGGAACACCCGUGGCGAAGGCGGGUUCCUGGACAUUAACUGACGCUGAGGCACGAAGGCCAGGGGAGCGAAAGGGAUUAGAUACCCUAGUAGUC